GAUAAAGACACGGCGCACAUGUAUCAGGUUCACCCAUGACAAAAAGUCAGGAAGGGUGCUAAAAAUCAACGCAAAUAUUUAAAAUGGGAAAUAUAUCAAGGCUUGCGUGUGAUUUCUUCAAAAGAUUGCCCAAACACAGGCUAUGGGAGAACUGGUUUACCAACAAUGAUACAAAAAGGAGCUCAGAGUCUGAGCUGACCACAAGCCCUACAUGAGCUAAGGCAGAGGCUGCCAAACAAACAAAUGCAAAUGCAGGCUGCAUUAACAGAGGCAUAGCAACCAGAACAGAGAAGGGACUGCCCUACCCUGCUCCACACUCAGCCAGACCCAGCUGGAGCUCUAGGACCUUUCUGACACUUUGGGGCUGGCACCCAGCACUGUGCUAUCCUAGGAAGAAACAGCUAAAUCCCAAUGAAAGUCUCUGCUCACCACCUCCCCUGCUCCUGCCCUGGCCUGGGCUUGGGGGGACCCAGAGAGACGUCCAUAGGGUUCUGCCCUCCUGGAUUCUCUGGCUCAGACGAUGGCCCCAUCAUAUACUCCUGCAGCCAAGGCAGAAAUCCAGGCAUCAGCCCGGACUCUUCCCUCACGCCCCCUCGUGUGCCCCCUUCUGUUUUCCUGCAGUGCCCUGAUGUCCUCUGUUGCAUUGUUUAUCAUCUUUUAUUGUAAAGGCUCCAAUUGUCCAUUUCCCCAUCUAGAUGCAAUGAAGGCAGAGGCUGUGUCUAUCUUGUUCCCUGCUGUAUUCUGGGCACCUGGCACAGUGCCUGGCACUUAACAGGUGCUAAUUAAACACUGUUGAUUGAAUUACUUAGUCCCUUUGAUUCCAUUUGCUUGAUACUCAUUGAAUCCAUACCCUCCUGUCUCCCCCAGCCGCAGUCUUUGCUCAGAUAAUUCCACCUGGGCACUGGAGCAGUUUUCUGACUGGGCUGCUUAUCUUACCUCCACCAUUCAGUCUAUUUUCCACAUUAUAGCUGGAGUGGUCAUUCUAAAGUGCCCAUCUAUCCUACUCUGAAUCCUUCCCUGGCUUCCCAUUACUUACAG
rnacentral:lncRNA from 10 species